GACAUCUUGUCCGAGUGGUUAAGGAGACAGACUAGAAAUCUGCUGGGCUUUGCCCGCGCAGGUUCGAAUCCUGCAGAUGUCG
rfam:Blastocystis sp. NandII AV274scaffold_66, whole genome shotgun sequence.